AUUGAACGCUGGCGGCAGGCCUAACACAUGCAAGUCGAGCGGAUGAAGGGAGCUUGCUCCUGGAUUCAGCGGCGGACGGGUGAGUAAUGCCUAGGAAUCUGCCUGGUAGUGGGGGAUAACGUCCGGAAACGGGCGCUAAUACCGCAUACGUCCUGAGGGAGAAAGUGGGGGAUCUUCGGACCUCACGCUAUCAGAUGAGCCUAGGUCGGAUUAGCUAGUUGGUGGGGUAAAGGCCUACCAAGGCGACGAUCCAUAACUGGUCUGAGAGGAUGAUCAGUCACACUGGAACUGAGACACGGUCCAGACUCCUACGGGAGGCAGCAGUGGGGAAUAUUGGACAAUGGGCGAAAGCCUGAUCCAGCCAUGCCGCGUGUGUGAAGAGGGUCUUCGGAUUGUAAAGCACUUUAAGUUGGGAGGAAGGGCAGUAAGUUAAUACCUUGCUGUUUUGACGUUACCAACAGAAUAAGCACCGGCUAACUUCGUG
rnacentral:rRNA from 1 species